rnacentral:lncRNA from 10 species
AAAUCAUGCUUGUGGAGUGAGUGAAUAAUCAGAAAGCGUAGGUCCUGAUAAUAGAAGUUAAUGACUGAAGUAUCUACACUUAUUUAUUCCCUAACAUCCCUUGGGCACUUAACUCUUAGUUAGAUACUGUUUAAAACACUUAAAAAGUAUUACCUCACAAUUACUCUAUCCUAAGGUAGCAACUCUAUGAUCCCAGGUUUAUCAUUGUGCCACAGGCUUAGGAGGGAGGUCUGAACAAAAAUGCAAGAAAAAGGAACUUCUGUCCUCCAAGCCACGUCGUGGUAAAGAUGCAGCAUACCUCUCAGAAAUUUAAGUUAAUAGAAACAAGCACUACAUGCUAAUGUACAUGGAAUGUGUGACUAACAGAGAAAAAGUGAUACUGUGAGGAUGUAAAAAGUGAGCUAACUCGAAAAGUCCUCAAGAAGUAGUGUUAAUGAGUGCUUCAAGUUGGAAACAAUUUUCAACUGGAGAAAUGUGCCCAGUCUGUUGGUGAAGAG